rnacentral:rRNA from 1 species
CGUAAACGAUGUCGAUUUGGAGGUUGUGGCUUCCGGAGCUAACGCGUUAAAUCGACCGCCUGGGGAGUACGGCCGCAAGGUUAAAACUCAAAUGAAUUGACGGGGGCCCGCACAAGCGGUGGAGCAUGUGGUUUAAUUCGAUGCAACGCGAAGAACCUUACCUGGUCUUGACAUCCAGGUGCUGCAUGGCUGUCGUCAGCUCGUGUUGUGAAAUGUUGGGUUAAGUCCCGCAACGAGCGCAACCCUUAUCCUUUGUUGCAACUCAAAGGAGACUGCCAGUGAUAAACUGGAGGAAGGUGGGGAUGACGUCAAGUCAUCAUGGCCCUUACGACCAGGGCUACACACGUGCUACAAUGGCAUAUACAAAGAGAAGCGACCUCGCGAGAGCAAGCGGACCUCAUAAAGUAUGUCGUAGUCCGGAUUGGAGUCUGCAACUCGACUCCAUGAAGUCGGAAUCGCUAGUAAUCGUAGAUCAGAUGCUACGGUGAAUACGUUCCCGGGCCUUGUACACACCGCCCGUCACACCAUGGGAGUGGGUUGCAAAAGAAGUAGGUUACCACUUUGUGAUUCAUGACUGGGGUGAAGUCGUAACAAGGUAACCGA